rnacentral:rRNA from 1 species
GAUGAACGCUAGCGGCAGGCUUAAUACAUGCAAGUCGAGGGGCAGCAUGAGUGUAGCAAUACAUUUGAUGGCGACCGGCAAACGGGUGCGGAACACGUACACAACCUUCCUAUAAGUGGGGAAUAGCCCAGAGAAAUUUGGAUUAAUACCCCGUAACAUAAUGAUGUGGCAUCACAUUAUUAUUAUAGCUUCGGCGCUUAUUGAUGGGUGUGCGGCUGAUUAGAUAGUUGGCGGGGUAACGGCCCACCAAGUCUACGAUCAGUAGCUGAUGUGAGAGCAUGAUCAGCCACACGGGCGCUGAGACACGGGCCCGACUCCUACGGGAGGCAGCAGUAAUGAAUAUUGGUCAAUGGACGCAAGUCUGAACCAGCCAUGCCGCGUGAAGGAUUAAGGUCCUCUGGAUUGUAAACUUCUUUUAUCUGGGACGAAAAAGGCGAUUCUUCGUCACUUGACGGUACCAGAUGAAUGAGCACCGGCUAACUCCGUGCCAGCCGCCGCAGUAAUAC